GGCUUUGUAGUUCAAUGGGUAGAACACCAACCACAUGUUACUAUUGUAACCAUCGUUAAUCCGGUCUGUCGGGUUUGUUUCUUGCUUUCUUGCUGGGUCUGUUUGGCGUUGUGCUUAGUUGGAGACGGAGGUUCGAAGCCUUCCAAAGCCA